CCUACGGGAGGCUGCAGUGGGGAAUAUUGGACAAUGGGGGGAACCCUGAUCCAGCCAUGCCGCGUGUGUGAAGAAGGCCCUCGGGUUGUAAAGCACUUUCAGUGAGGAAGAACGCCUGGUGGUUAAUACCCAUCAGGAAAGACAUCACUCACAGAAGAAGCACCGGCUAACUCCGUGCCAGCAGCCGCGGUAAUACGGAGGGUGCGAGCGUUAAUCGGAAUUACUGGGCGUAAAGCGCGCGUAGGUGGCUUGAUAAGCCGGUUGUGAAAGCCCCGGGCUCAACCUGGGAACGGCAUCCGGAACUGUCAAGCUAGAGUGCAGGAGAGGAAGGUAGAAUUCACGGUGUAGCGGUGAAAUGCGUAGAGAUCGGGAGGAAUACCAGUGGCGAAGGCGGCCUUCUGGACUGACACUGACACUGAGGUGCGAAAGCGUGGGUAGCAAACAGGAUUAGAUACCCUUGUAGUC
rnacentral:rRNA from 1 species